rnacentral:rRNA from 1 species
ACGGGGUGCAGCAGGCGCGAAACCUCCGCAAUGCACAAACGUGUGACGGGGGAACCCCAAGUGCUACGGUACGACCGUAGCUUUUACGGAGUGUAAAAAGCUCUGAGAAUAAGGGCUGGGUAAGGCUGGUGCCAGCCUCCGCGGUAAAACCAGCAGCUCAAGUGGUCGUCGCUUUUAUUGGGCUUAAAGCGUCCGUAGUCGGUUUGGUCAGUCCUCUGUGAAAUCCGAUGACUCAAUCAUCGGGCUGGCAGAGGAUACUGCCUAACUAGGAGACGGGAGAGGUCAGGGGUACUCCUCGGGUAGCGGUGAAAUGCUAUAAUCCUGGGAUGACCACCGGUGGCGAAGGCGCCUGACUGGAACGUGCUCGACGAUGAGGGACGAAAGCUAGGGGAGCAAACCGGAUUAGAUACCCGGGUAGUCCUAGCCGUAAACGAUGCAGACUGAGUGUUACUGGAACUACGCGUUCCAGUAGUGCUGAAGGGAAACUGUUAAGUCUGCCGCCUGGAAGUACGUCGCAAGGC